CCAAAAAAACAUAUAAAAACAACGAUCUAUCUCAAAGAAAAAAAUUCCAAUUUAAACAUUAUAAAAAAUACAAUUUUUUAAAUCAAACUCAAAAGAGUUUUUAAAGAACUAUGCAUCAGAAAUAAAUGGCUCAGAAUUCUAAAUUGGAAUUCUAAUAAAAAAUAUGCACUGUGUAAUAAGAAGCACGUUUACUUUUUUGGUGACAAAAAAAAGGAAAAUAAUAGAGAAAAAGAAAAAAAAAGAACAAAAAAGUGCUAUGGGGCGAUUUGUCAAUGAGCUAUAUGCCGAAUGCAGCAAGCAUUUCAUUUGGAUAGCUGUGAAUUAUCUGAUUCCCUUGUUUGACAAACAACAAACUUCUGAAUAUAUUUUACCAUUUGAAUAAAAAGCCUUUUUCACCCCCGAA